rnacentral:rRNA from 1 species
UGGCGACCGGCGCACGGGUGAGUAACGCGUAUCCAACCUGCCCUUUACUAUGGGACAGCCCGUCGAAAGGCGGAUUAAUACCGUAUGUUGUCAUGUUGAUGCAUAUUUUCAUGACCAAAGGCUUCGGCCGGUAAAGGAUGGGGAUGCGUCUGAUUAGCUUGCCGGCGGGGUAACGGCCCACCGGGGCGACGAUCAGUAGGGGUUCUGAGAGGAAGGUCCCCCACAUUGGAACUGAGACACGGUCCAAACUCCUACGGAAGGCAGCAG